CAGGAAGUAAAUACGCUAGAUGAAGCAGCACGAAAAUUCUGGUAUCGGUUUCUCCUUGUUAGCCCUUUGAAGGCAUUCCUUUGCAAAGAUGCCUCCUAAAGAGAGGAGAAUCAAACAAAAAAAAGAAGGAGCUGCUUGAGGCAGCAAAAAGCAGUGGAUCCAUUUCCAGCUGGUUUAUGAAAAGCACAACGGGUAACUGCAGUUGCAUCUGAUGCAUUGCAGCAGAAAGACAUGGACCUGGCUGCAGCAUACAGCAUUGUUGACGGUGUUUUAAGGAGGCUGGCUUACAGCAGAACAGAAGAAGGGUUUGAGAACAUUUAUAAACAGGCUACAGAGAAUGCUGCAUCAGUGGGCCUGGAUCCUCCAUCUGAGGUGCCUGGACAAGCUAGGAAGAGGAAAUUGCCAGAGAAGUUCAAGUUUGCUGCCACAUCAGCUACAACUGACCAUGCUUUUCCAACUUUGCAGGUCUACUACCGUGUUAAAGUGUAUAAUGUUUUUGUGGACACAAUGACACAAGAACUUCACAGACGCUUUAAAGGAGGAGAUAAUUCCACAUGGGAAAUCUUGCAUGCCUUUCAUUGCCUGGCAGUCCCGGAGAACUGGAAAACAGCAAGCAUUGCAACAGCAGCACUCUAAGCUGUGAAGAAACUGUGCCAGUUUUAUCAAAUUGAAGAGGAAGACAAAUUGCAGACAGAACUGAAGGUCUUCCAUACUUCAUACUCGUGCCCACCACCAGUUAAUGUGUCAUCUAUUCUUUCAGUGAUCAAGGAAAACAAUAGUUUUUCCCAACAUGACUGAGCUGCUAAAGACAUAUGGCAUACUUCCAGUGUCAACAGCAAGUGUGGAACGCUCCUUCUCAAAACUGAAGCUGGUAAAAACCAAACUUCGCAGUCUUUGCAAGGAGGAGAGAUUGUCUGAGCUUCUUCUGUUGGCCAUUGAGAAGGAUAUUCCAAUAAAUGUCAGUGAUGUCACAGACAUUUUUAGGGACAUGGCCAACAGGAAAUUGCUGUUAUAAAACACAACAGCUCCUCCACUUAUUGCUCUUGGUGUGCAGCAGCCACUGUAAGAAAUGCAAGCAAUCACCCUUGCCAUCAACUGCAGCACUAUAGUAGAUGACCACCAGCAGUAUCAGCAGCAACAUCCCCAGCAAACCCUUCAAAAUCAGCUGCUCCCUAUCGCUUCAGAGCAAGUCAAGCUUGACAAAAGCCACUUGGAGGAGACUUCCUGCUGUGAGGUGAGACUAAAAACAAUCAACCUCUCCACAUCUUCCCACAUCAGCAUGACCUUCAGUCUCCUACUAAUUAAAGUGAUACAGCAUCUCAGAGGCCACUGCACACAUCUAAUGGCCUGUGUGACACACUGUGGACCCUCUUCCUGUUUGGCUUUUUUCUUUGUAAGUGAUGACUGAAGAUAUCAGUACAGUUUUCCAGUCCAAUGUCCAUUUUGGUGACCCAUUGCCUUUUUAAAGGCAAAUCGGGUUUUUUUUCAAGAAUUCUAAAUCUCUCAACCCUGUUACCCAUGUUUUUUGUUAGGUAAUGCUUUUUGUGAAAUAAUACAAACACACAAAAAAAGUGUUUAUCAAAAACCAUAAACCAACAUUUUCCCCCAAACUACACUGUAAAACUUUGCAGUAGUUUUGCAGCAGGUUUGCCAGUAACUUACUGUAGAUUUAAUUACUACGUAAUACUACUUUCCUAUUAGGACUGUUUUCAAUUUGAGUUAAACUUUAUUUUGAUUAAAACAAAAUUAAAACACUUUGACUUUUGAGAUUCAAAAUGAGCAAGAAGAAACUGGUCUCAUUACUGGCAUUAGCACAGCAACGCUGCAAAAAAUGACAUUCUUCUUAAGCAUUUUUGUUUUGUUUUCUAGUAAAAAGAUUUAAAAAUUCUUAAAUUACAAUAGAUUUAUAUAACAAGAAAAGUGGCCUAAGAUAUUUAGUCUAGUUUUUACAUUUACGCAUUUGGCAUACGCUUCUAUCCUAAGCGAUUUACAUUGCAUUCUACUAUACAUUUGUUUCUAAUUAUGUGCAAUCCCUGGGAUCAAACCCAUGACCUUGGCGUUGUUAGCACCAUGCUCUAACCACUGAGCUACAGGAAAUAAAUUUAAGAGCUAAGUAAGUUUAAAACAAAAUUGUAAUUUACAUCUACAUAAGUUUCUGGCAAACCUGCUGCAAAACUACAGCAAAGUUUUACAGUGUAGCUACAAAGUACAAAGUAGCUUUUACUCAUUCUACUGAAAUGUUUUAUUUUGUACAUUUGAUGUUUUUAUAAAAAAAUUAUGUUCAUGUAUUGUGAUAUGUAAUAUAUUUUUGUAAUUCAUAUAUUUGAGCUGCUUUGAUAUGGAUAUGAAAAUAAAACAUGUUUAGUAAUAUUUAGUUUGACCUGAACUUGACGGUCAACAUUUUUGAAGGUUAAGCACCUCCUACCCAUUUGUUCAAAAUAUAUAAUUUUUUAGUAGUUUGUGGCCAUCUUUUGUAGAAGUGACUAAAUUAAAGUUAAAUUCCAUACUAGUUAAUAGAGUGAAAAGUAGAUUUUUGUCACAUGUAAUUAUUAUAUUCCUCCAGGCACAUAUAUUAGUUAAUCAGGUGCCUCUGUUUCCUAGGGACCGUGUCAAAACUCCCAAAGUAACAGCUCAGCUACAACAUUGCACGAGUGACCUACUGUAUAUGUAAUGUGUCCCUGACUCACCAUUAACUUUGCUGAGAUAACAGUUUUGAUUGUAUGACUAAAUUGGGCCCUGGAUUAGAACAAGUACUUGCUACAAUGUUUUACACCCUCCGUCAGCAAGGUUCCACCGCAUCAGCCUCAAACAAAGGGCCGGUGAUUUAUCCACCAUUUAAAAAAAGCCAACUAGGAAUUAUCUGGAAAGGUCAUCCUCAAUUUCAGUAUAGAAAUGAUCUUUUCCCACAAUGUAAUAAACAUUUAUCUGAUCCUUUUAUUGGCUUGAUUAGAGCUGACAGCUUAGUUAAGCCUUUUUGCCUGGCCGUGCAGGGUCAUGACAGUUAACGUUGCGAAAAGUUCCAUUGGCCAGGUUUGGUAUUCAUUAAAGUUUGGAGAGAGAGUGGAAAAAAGCAAGGACAACUGCCCUCCUCUCUAUUGUUACUUAUAUGGGCGGAAGGAGCUGCCUGACCUGGUCAAAUUCAUUUAGAUGCCAAUAAAUAUAGCCUUUCAUCUUCACCUGAUGCUUACUCUCCUCUGCAGCCGUGUGUGGGUAUGUGAACAGGAUGUUGCAGUAUCCAUGUGUUAUUUCAAUGCGUUAUUGAAAAGUUAUUGAAACUUUUAAAAGCAUUUUAACGGUUAAAUGUUAAAUGUCAGUAUGCGUAUUAUUAUGUAAUGCAAAAGUUUUAAAAUGAAGGGUGUUGCUUCUGAACCACCAGAAUUGCAAAAAUAAGGAAUUUAAAAAUAUUUUGCAUACACUUAAUCUUCCUUUUGUCGUACAAAUCUUCAACCCACAAUCACGCCAUUGGUUGAGCCAAUGUUGCUGAGUUGGGCUAGCCUGGAUGCUAAUUUGAUAGCAUCACAGUAUUUACACUUUUUAGGUAUAUUAUUCUAUUCUAACAUAAAGAAAGUCACACACUUUGGCUUUGUCUUUGAAACAUUUUACCUUCUAACUAUUUGUUAAUGCAUAUUUUAAUAACAUUUUUGACCCUGUAAACACUGUAUGCUAGGAUUUAAAAAAAUCCAGUCAAAAACCAAUAUAUAAAAUCAAGCCCUGCCUACAUUUUUGUCUUGUUCCAUAAGUUGUUUCAUUCAUAGUACAACAUGUUAUUUUGUUUGUAUGUUACACUACUGUGAUCUGCUCACUGUAGUCCUAAAUAACACUGUAAUAAAGUUCAAUGUAGGGAAGGAAGGAGGCGGGAACCGGCAUCAUUUAAACAAUAAACUUUAAUCAAAAUAAAUAAACAAUAAUCCAGCAAAUAAAAGGCCGGCAGCCACCUCACGGUCGACUGCCGGCCACACGAACAUAAACAAACUCCACUUAACUUCCGGGCCCGGGUCCUCUCUCUCGAUGGUCCGGUCGCUCGUCCUCUUAUCCUCCCGAGCUCCCCCGUGAGGCAUGCCCCGCCUUACCCGCCCCACGGCUCUCGCCCCGCCUUCCUCACUACAUACCCCCAUCACCCCUCACAGGCCGGGGGGCAGCACCGAGCCUGUGCUUACUCCCCCCCCCGGGGGCCUUCUCCCAUGGGGGCCCCAGUGAGAUAAUCACUGGGGCAUGCACGGACGAGGCGAGAGAACAGAGCCGGGAGCAUCCCGAGUGACCGGGACGAGAGAGGGGAGAGAAGACAAAACAAAACAAAAAAAAAGUGGUCCGGUUCCCUGACACGCUGCCGCUCGGUCCUCAGCCCAGCCGAGGCUCCUCCUCGCGGAGCUAGGUUGUGGUGCUGGACGUCCGGCGGACGGCCCGAUCCUCCGGCCGCCUCCUGUCGGCCGGUGAUGGCUCCUGGCUGAGGGCAGCCGGCACUCCCGAGCUCCCUCCAUGGCCGCCAUCCCACCUCGUCCCAGGAGCACGGCCGCGAUUCUCCGGCCGAUGGCUCCUAGCUGAGGGCAGCCGGCAUUCCCGCGCUCCCUCCAUGGCCGCCAUCCCACCUCGUCCCAAGAGCACGGCCGCGGGCUCUCCGUCCCCACCGAACCCUCUUCGUUCCAGCACCACGAUCUCGGGCAGCCGCUGGCGGACGCCCUCGUCCGUGCUGCCCGAACUCCUCAGCACCGCGAGGCCGCUCGGCGGCGAGGGCUCCUCGGCAGCAUGUCCCUCCUUCCUCCCGGGUUUCGGCACCAAUGUAAUAAAGUUCAAUGUAGGGAAGGAAGGAGGCGGGAACCGGCAUCAUUUAAACAAUAAACUUUAAUCAAAAUAAAUAAACAAUAAUCCAGCAAAUAAAAGGCCGGCAGCCACCUCACGGUCGACUGCCGGCCACACGAACAUAAACAAACUCCACUUAACUUCCGGGCCCGGGUCCUCUCUCUCGAUGGUCCGGUCGCUCGUCCUCUUAUCCUCCCGAGCUCCCCGUGAGACAUGCGGGGACCGGCGGUCGCACAGCUGACACUAGUUGCCACUUACGCCGCCGGCCCCGCCUUACCCGCCCCACGGCUCUCGCCUCGCCUUCCUCUCUACAAAGACUUUACAAUAGGGUUGUACAACGGUUGAUUUAAAAAAAAUUAUUAGUAAAUGCUAAGAUUAACAUGAACUAAGAUUAAUACAUUUACAUUUAUUCAUUUGGCUGACGCUUUUAUCCAAAGUGUUGCACUACUGCAUCCUUCUACUGUAAUAAAUGCUGUAGAAGGAUUGUUCAUUGUUAGUUCAUGUUAGCUAAUGUAUUAACUAAUUGUUUAGCUCCUCAAUACUUGAAUGAACUCCUUUUGUAUUACAGUCCUUCACGUGCAUUACGCUCUCAGGCGUCCUGUCAGUUGGUAAUACCUAGAAUUACAAAAUCAAGUGCAGGUGGUAGAUCCUUUUCCUAUCUAGCGCUUAAACUUUGGAAUAGUCUUCCCUGCACUGUCAGACACACUCUGUCAGUUUAAAUCUAGACUAAAGACGCAUCUUUUUAAUCUUGCAUACACUACUCUUCCAUAAUAUAAAUCCUCUGAGGGUUUAGGCUGCAUUAGUUAGAUCAACCGGAACCAAAAACACAACUGAUGUACUUGUUGCAUCAAAGAGUGCAGAACAGUACUCUACUCUCAGCCAGUCUUGUCUCAUUGUUCCAAGGUUACCACAGCGAGCAGGAUGCAGUUCAUGGCCUGACGUGAUGGUAGAGCGGAGAAUGGGAAGCAGCGACCUGACAAGAGCUGAGAUGAUAGAGCUGGAUAAAGAAGGACGCGGUCACCUGACACGUCUUCACCACAAAAUUUCAAAUGCUAUUAGAUUAUUAAUGAUAAUCUUAAACUAUAAUUUACCUUAUUAGUAAGUUUUUUUAUUUUAUUUAGCCUUGUUGUGCAAGUUCUCUGGAGCUUGUGCAGAGGCAGCAGCUUUUGCCAGAGGGGAACUGGAAUCCCCUGGUUGGGCCUGGGUUCUCCUGAGGUUUUUUUUCUCGAUUAGAGUUUUGGGUUCCUCGCCACCAUUUGUAUACUGUUUUUGCACUAUUUGCCUGGCCGGAGGGGGCUGCUUUAGAAUUUUAAAGUUUUACUUAAUUAAUAUUGCAUAUAGGAAUUUAUAGUCUGUUAUAUUUGACCUGUGCUUCUCUCUCCUUUAUCUUAAAUGUGUGCUCUCACUGAGCGUGUGUGUGUGCGUGCGUGUCUGUGUGUUUGUGCGUACUUGUCUGUGUACGUGUGUGUGUGCGUGCGUGUCCGUGUGUGUGUGUCUAUGUCUAUGUGUGUUAGUACGUGUGCAUAUUGUGUGUGUGUGGAGUGUUUUGUAUGUGGGUAUGUCUAUCUUCUGUGUUUUCAACUUUUUCUUGUUUUUGCAGGUACAACUUUUAAUUGUUUUGCUUAUAGUCAAUAUGUCUUAUGUACAGCUGCUUUGUAACAAUGAAAAUUGUAAAAAGCGCUAUAUAAAUAAA